GCGCGACCUUCGCGCGGCCAGAACCCCCAAGCUUGGCCGGAACCCUCGCGGGGCGGGCGGUGUCAUCGCGACAGCGACCGCUUCCGCGGCUCGGGUGCGUUCUGCGAGCUACGCUGUGCGUCAGGGAAACGCAUCGCACUUCUCAUAAAGGAGUCUGAGUUUCCAAAAAUGCAAAUCCUGACCCCCAUCCUUCUCCUGGAGCUCUGACAAAUCCAAAGCACAAGCAGGAGGGGGCUUGGCAGGACAGUGUGAACCUGAUCAGCAUUGCCUUCACAGCGAAGGAAAGCACUACAAGUGUACUUGAGCACUGCAUGAGGCACAAGGAGCGACCAGAACUGCCAACACCUUGACUUCAGCUCAGUGAGAUGGAUUUUGGACUUCUGACAACCAGAAUUGUAAGAGCAGAGCUCCUGCUUCAGCCAGUAGAAGUGAAUUGGUAAGAAAAUUGGCCUGUGACUACAGUUUUUAUUUCUGGAAAAUCAGUGUCUUCCACAUCCUAUUAAAUUCAAGGCCAGCUCCUGGUUCCCAUUUCUAAAGAACUGCCUCACCUACUGGAAAAGAUUUAAGCAUCAGAGUCUGCUGACACAGGAAAAGGAGGCAGAAGGAAAGGCUGGCUAUACUCAGAGAACUUCAGGAGGACCUUGGCACACACCAAACUCUACAGGAAACUGCAGCUCAAAGGCCCAUGGCUCUGCUGUCACUGACAGUCCCACAUGGAUGGCGCAGCCCUAGAUGGCAGUCAAGGAAGCCAAGGAUAGGAGAAAUUGAGCCACCCUUACCAUGACUUAAUAUGUAAAGCAAAAAAUGAAACCAAUCCACUCUCCUUCAGAUCAUAGUGAAAUUUGGUAAUUAAACUUAAUUUAUAUAAAGAAUUCAACCUCUAGAGCCCCACCAUCUCCUUUUGACUUUAAAAGAUAAAACAACAAAGAUUCAUUUAAAGUUAUGAGUAUGCUUUCCCAGUUCCUCUCUUGUCACUUCCCGUUUCCACAUUCAGACCUUUUAACCAUCAGCAAGUAGGGUGGGGUUUCUCCACAUCACCUUAUGAGGGUCUUUCCUACCAUUUCCCUGCCUGGAGAUCUCUGACACCAGAGCUGAAGCCCAGAGCCCCUCCUCAUAUUGUCUAUCCAAUGAGAGGACGAAAGUUGCGUUCUAGAAGUGUUGGAAGGAAUCUUACAUAUCAGCUAGAAUCAUCACUUCAACUCACUUGUUAAGGAAGCUGUAGUCCAGGGAGGAGACAGGAUUUAUACAAUGGCUGUUUUAGAUCCAAAAAUACAAUUUAGAUCUCAAAACUUUCAUGUAUGUUUGUAUACAUUUAUUCCUCAACUGGGAUAUUUGAUGAAUAUUUUUGUGUAUCUGUGACCUGUUGAGCAGUAUGUAAAUAAGACAGAGCCCUCCCCUCAGAGUUUUUAUUCUCUCAGGGCACAUAGGCCAUAAGUGGACCAUUUCCACAAAGAUUUACAGCCCAGCGCUCUGCCCCUAAAUCUCACAGCUGGUAUUUGGACAACAAACUUGACUCUUCUCAUCUAUAGAAAAUGGUACAUCUGCAGUUGUGUACACCACUUACAGCUAUUCUGACAAAAAUGACAAUAGCACCACCACUCACUUUAAUCCAUCUGAUCUGUGAUGACAAAAACAAAAACGAAAAUUCACAUACCUAAACAACAUCUGUCCCCAGAAAGGUUGUGUGAGUAAAGAAAGAGCGCAGCCUUAGGGACCAGAAAGACCUGGAUUUGAAACUCUGAUCUAUUGUUAAUACCUCACGGCUGUGGGGCACCUGGGUGGCUCAGUCAGUUAAGCAUCUGCCUUCAGCUCAGGUCAUGAACCCAGGGUCCUGGGAUUGAGCCCAGCAUCUGGCUCCCUGCUUGAUGGGCAACCCGCUUCUCCCUCUCCACCACUUGUGCUUCCUUGUGAGUGCUCU